UUACUGACUGAGUUAUGGGCCAAAUUUGGUGCAAAAAUGAGGAAAAUUUUACAUUUUCUCAAACAGGGUAAGGAACUUGGUUUCUCGAAUAACUUCUGGCACAGACAUCUGAGGGCAUGGCCGUCCAAGAAGGAAAUGUAGCCAUUGGUGCCAUCUAUCGACCACAGGUUAAAGAUUGGCGAUCCGUUGGGUACUGACUGAGUUAUGGGCAAAAUUUGGUACAAAAAUGAGGAAAAUUUUACAUUUUCUCAAACAGAGUAAGGGACUUGGUUCCUCGAAUAACUUCUGGCUCAGACAUCUGAGCGCAUGGCCGUCCAAGAAGGAAAUGUAGCCAUUGGUGCCAUCUAUCGACCACAGGUUAAAGAUUGGCGAUCCGUUGGAUACUGACUGAGUUAUGGGCAAAAUUUGGUGCAAAAAUGAGGAAAAUUUUACAUUUUCUCAAACAGGGUAAGGAACUUGGUUCCUCGAAUAACUUCUGGCACAGACAUCUGAGGGCAUGGCCGUCCAAGAAGAAAAUGUAGCCAUUGGUGCCAUCUAUCGACCACAGGUUAAAGAUUGGCGAUCCGUUGGAUACUGACCGAGUUAUAGGCAAAAGUUGGUGCAAAAAUGAGGAAAAUUUUACAUUUUCUCAAACAGGGUAAGGAACUUGGUUCCUCGAAUAACUUCUGGCACAGACAUCUGAGGGCAAGGCCGUCCAAGAAGGAAAUGUAGCCAUUGGUGCCAUCUAUCGAUCACAGGUCAAAGAUUGGCAAUCCGUUGGAUACCGACCGAGUUAUAGGCAAAAUUUGGUGCAAAAAUGAGGAAAAUUUUACAUUUUCUCAAACAGGGUAAGGAACUUGGUUCCUCGAAUAACUUCUGACACAGACAUCUGAGGGCAUGGCCGUCCAAAAAGGAAAUGUAGCCAUUGGUGCCAUCUAUCGACCACAGGUUAAAGAUUGGCGAUCCGUUGGAUACUGACUGAGUUAUAGGCAAAAGUUGGUGCAAAAAUGAGGAAAAUUUUACAUUUUCUCAAACAGGGUAGGAACUUGGUUCCUCGAAUAACUUCUGGCACAGACAUCUGAGGGCAAGGCCGUCCAAGAAGGAAAUGUAGCCAUUGGUGCCAUCUAUCGAUCACAGGUCAAAGAUUGGCGAUCCGUUGGAUACCGACCGAGUUAUGGGCAAAAUUUGGUGCAAAAAUGAGGAAAAUUUUACAUUUUCUCAAACAGGGUAGGAACUUGGUUCCUCGAAUAACUUCUGGCACAGACAUCUGAGGGCAAGGCCGUCCAAGAAGGAAAUGUAGCCAUUGGUGCCAUCUAUCGAUCACAGUUCAAAGAUUGGCGAUCCGUUGGAUACUGACCGAGUUAUAGGCAAAAGUUGGUGCAGAAAAGAGCCUUAUGAAAUUUUCAAAUUUUUAUAUUUUUUAAAUUUUUUCUGAAUUUUUACUCUUUUUUUAAUUUAAAGCAUUAUUUGAGUGAAAAGAAACUCAUUGCAACCAAUUGGCAUUAAAAUAAAUCAAUUUAAUUUUUUUUGCAAAAUUUCUCAAAAAAAUGGCAAGGGGUACCCCUUAUGAAAUUUUCGAGUGGAAAAUUUUUUUAAAAUUUUUUUCAGAUUUUUUAUUCUUUUUUUAAUUUAAAGCAUUGUUUCAGUGAAAAGAAACUUAUUGCAACAAAAUUCGCAUUAAAAUAUAUCAUAUUUUUAAAUUUUGCUAAAUUACUCAAAAAUGAAGAAAAUUUUACAUUUUCUCAAACAGGGUAAGGAACUUGGUUCCUCGAAUAACUUCUGGCACAGACAUCUGAGCGCAUGGCCGUCCAAGAAGGAAAUGUAGCCAUUGGUGCCAUCUAUCGACCACAGGUUAAAGAUUGGCGAUCCGUUGGUUACUGACUGAGUUAUGGGCAAAAUUUGGUGCAAAAAUGAGGAAAAUUUUACAUUUUCUCAAACAGGGUAAGGAACUUGGUUCCUCGAAUAACUUCUGGCACAGACAUCUGAGGCCAUGGCCGUCCAAGAAGGAAAUGUAGCCAUUGGUGCCAUCUAUCGACCACAGGUUAAAGAUUGGCGAUCCGUUGGAUACUGACCGAGUUAUGGGCAAAAGUUGGUGCAAAAAUGAGCCUUAUGAAAUUUUCAAAUUUUUAUAUUUUUUAAAUUUUUUCUGAAUUUUUACUCUUUUUUUAAUUUAAAGCAUUAUUUGAGUGAAAAGAAACUCAUUGCAACCAAUUGGCAUUAAAAUAAAUGAAUUUAAUUUUUUUUGCAAAAUUUCUCAAAAAAAUGGCAAGGGGUACCCCUUAUGAAAUUUUCGAGUGGAAAAUUUUUUUAAAAUUUUUUUCUGAUUUUUUAUUCUUUUUUUAAUUUAAAGCAUUAUUUAAGUGAAAAGAAACUUAUUGCAACAAAAUUCGCAUUAAAAUAUAUCAUAUUUUUAAAUUUUGCUAAAUUACUCAAAAAUGAAGAAAAUUUUACAUUUUCUCAAACAGGGUAAGGAACUUGGUUCCUCGAAUAACUUCUGGCACAGACAUCUGAGGGCAUGGCCGUCCAAGAAGGAAAUGUAGCCAUUGGUGCCAUCUAUUGACCACAGGUUAAAGAUUGGCGAUCCGUUGGAUACUGACUGAGUUAUGGGCAAAAUUUGGUGCAAAAAUGAGGAAAAUUUUACAUUUUCUCAAACAGGGUAAGGAACUUGGUUCCUCGAAUAACUUCUGGCACAGACAUCUGAGGCCAUGGCCGUCCAAGAAGGAAAUGUAGCCAUUGGUGCCAUCUAUCGACCACAGGUUAAAGAUUGGCGAUCCGUUGGAUACCGACCGAGUUAUAGGCAAAAGUUGGUGCAAAAAUGAGCCUUAUGAAAUUUUCAAAUUUUUAUAUAUUUUUAAUUUUUUCUGAUUUUUUACUCUUUUUUUAAUUUAAAGCAUUAUUUGAGUGAAAAGAAACUCAUUGCAACCAAUUGGCAUUAAAAUAAAUCAAUUUAAUUUUUUUUGCAAAAUUUCUCAAAAAAAUGGCAAGGGGUACCCCUUAUGAAAUUUUCGAGUGGAAAAUUUUUUUAAAAUUUUUUUCUGAUUUUUUAUUCUUUUUUUAAUUUAAAGCAUUGUUUCAGUGAAAAGUAACUUAUUGCAACAAAAUUCGCAUUAAAAUAUAUCAUAUUUUUAAAUUUUGCUAAAUUACUCAAAAAUGAAGAAAAUUUUACAUUUUCUCAAACAGGGUAGGGAACUUGAUUCCUCGAAUAACUUCUGGCACAGACAUCUGAGCGCAUGGCCGUCCAAGAAGGAAAUGUAGCCAUUGGUGCCAUCUAUCGACCACAGGUUAAAGAUUGGCGAUCCGUUGGAUACUGACUGAGUUAUGGGCAAAAUUUGGUGCAAAAAUGAGGAAAAUUUUACAUUUUCUCAAACAGGGUAAGGAACUUGGUUCCUCGAAUAACUUCUGGCACAGACAUCUGAGGCCAUGGCCGUCCAAGAAGGAAAUGUAGCCAUUGGUGCCAUCUAUCGACCACAGGUUAAAGAUUGGCGAUUCGUUGGAUACUGACCGAGUUAUAGGCAAAAGUUGGUGCAAAAAUGAGCCUUAUGAAAUUUUCAAAUUUUUAUAUUUUUUUAAUUUUUUCUGAUUAUUUAAUCUUUUUUUAAUUUAAAGCAUUAUUUGAGUCAAAAGAAACUCAUUGCAACCAAUUGGCAUUAAAAUAAAUCAAUUUAAUUUUUUUUGCAAAAUUUCUCAAAAAAAACGUAAAAAUAUUAAUUCGCAGCAACCGGUACAAAAGAAAAGCGAAAACCAAAAACGAUUUUUUAACACCAGGAGAACAUCCAACCGAGGAGGUAACAUCUAUCCUCUAGCGCUUUUGCUAGUCUCCACAAUGGUAUGAGUGGCGCUAAAGGGUGGUAAAGCUAAUUAGAUCCAUGUGUACCAUUGUGGAGACUAACAGAAGCAACUAAGUAAAAAUGCUUUUAGCGCUAUUUGUACUAUUGUGGAGACUAGCGAAAGCGCUAGAGUAAGAAGUAAGCUAGAGGAUAGAAGUAACCUCCUUCGUUGGACGCUCUCUUGGUGUUGAAAAGUCGUUUUUGAUUGAACGAUGAAAUGAACGAUUAGUUCCGUUUCAUCCAAUUUACAUAACCAGUCUUAUUGAAUUGUGUUUAAUUUAUAGAAAAGGUUCCUUUUUUCUUUCGCAUGGUUAUAAUGUAAAACAACAAAACCAAUAAUAUGUUAUGUUUGAUAUUUCUCUUGUAUAUUUAUUACUUUGUAUGCUUUUUUAACUUUUCUUUUCUUGUUCCACUAUUUCACUUAUCUCUUCUCCUGGUGUCGUAUCUCUUAAGCAUCGUUAUCAAUCUUUC